rnacentral:rRNA from 1 species
UACGGAAGGCAGCAGUGGGGAAUAUUGCACAAUGGGCGCAAGCCUGAUGCAGCCAUGCCGCGUGUAUGAAGAAGGCCUUCGGGUUGUAAAGUACUUUCAGUCGUGAGGAAGGUGUUAAGGUUAAUAACCUUAGCAAUUGACGUUAGCGACAGAAGAAGCACCGGCUAACUCCGUGCCAGCAGCCGCGGUAAUACGGAGGGUGCGAGCGUUAAUCGGAAUUACUGGGCGUAAAGGGCACGCAGGCGGUUAAUUAAGUUGGAUGUGAAAUCCCCGGGCUUAACCUGGGAAUGGCAUUCAAGACUGGUUAGCUAGAGUCUUGUAGAGGGGGUAGAAUUCCAUGUGUAGCGGUGAAAUGCGUAGAGAUGUGGAGGAAUACCGGUGGCGAAGGCGGCCCCUGGGACAAAGACUGACGCUCAUGUGCGAAAGCGUGGGGAGGCAAAACAAGGGAUUAAGUACCUACCUCGUAAGAACGUACGUCAACGGAACGAACAACCAACGGGAA